rnacentral:rRNA from 1 species
GAUGAACGCUGGCGGCGUGCCUAACACAUGCCAGUCGAGCGAAGCACUUACUUUAGAUUUCUUCGGAAUGACGAAGUUUGUGACUGAGCGGCGGACGGGUGAGUAACGCGUGGGCAACCUGCCCUGUACAGGGGGAUAACAGUUAGAAAUGACUGCUAAUACCGCAUAAGCCCACAGCUUCGCAUGAAGCAGUGGGAAAAACUCCGGUGGUACAGGAUGGGCCCGCGUCUGAUUAGCUAGUUGGUAAGGUAACGGCUUACCAAGGCGACGAUCAGUAGCCGACCUGAGAGGGUGACCGGCCACAUUGGGACUGAGACACGGCCCAAACUCCUACGGGAGGCAGCAGUGGGGAAUAUUGCACAAUGGGGGAAACCCUGAUGCAGCGACGCCGCGUGAGCGAUGAAGUAUUUCGGUAUGUAAAGCUCUAUCAGCAGGGAAGAAAGUGACGGUACCUGACGAAGAAGCCCCGGCUAACUACGUG